UAUGAUAUAGUAUGUGAAACUUUGCUGAUUUAGUAGUUAACUUGUAUUUGAACCUUUUGGUUAUAAAUACUCUAUCGUGAUGUGAUUGGAUGCUCUUACACAAAAUUAGGAGUGUGAUGAAUGACUUAUAAAUACCCUAUAUUGACAUGAUUGAAGGCUCUUGCAAAAAAUUAGGAGUGUGAUGAAUGACUUGCUUAACUCGAGUUGCAAUAUGACUAUCCUUCGUACGAAGGACCUUGUUCAGUGAAAUAAAUUACAUAUUGGAUUAUGUUUUAUGUAAUUCUAUUUUGAAGAAUUGGUUUAUGUUUUAUGUGAUUCUAUUUUGUUGAUGAUAACAAGAAAAGUAAUAGAUGUUAUAGGUCAUUGGGAUACUAUGAUUUAUUUUGUUUUUAUUUUUUUGGUUUACUCAAUAGUGUUAUUAAGGUAGUGAAACUUUAAUGAUCAUUGACAUUUGUAAUAUGAAAUUUUACUCGG